rnacentral:misc_RNA from 1 species
GUUUUCUACCAUCAAAUCCUUCUAGAAGAUAAUAUUAACAAUAAUAAACAUUUACAGUUUAAUGUAUAGUCCAGCAAUAAAUAGUGAAUCACCAUGUGUGGAAAAAGAAAAUAAACAAAUAAAUGGCAAAACUGAUGGGACCCUCUGCUAAUGUGGGUGUGGGCCGUGGAGGCAAUCACACCUCAAGAGAUCGAAGGUUCAUCAACUGCUUCAAACUGCCCUUU